CUUAAUCUCGGGGUCGUGGGUUCGAGCCCCACGUUGGGCGAAACGUUUUGUGGCGACAACACUUUAUAAUUAUAAGUAACAUUCACCUCCACACAGGACGCCCCGGCGCGGGUGGCAGCCUGCAUGGUACAGUAUCUUAUUCUAAUUUCAUUCUUUACUAAAAGAUAUUUCCGCGUCCUCGUUUUCUACAAGGCACAGUCCCGGUCAGGUGUGAAGGAGCCAGCUUGCUGCAUUCACCUCCCCUGCGUCGUCUCGCAUUCUUCCCUCAAGCUAAGUCCUCCGCGCUGCUCACACUGUCCUGUAAGCCCUUACCAUUGAUAGACUCUUAGCAAGCUUGAAGAUUUAAGACUGAAGGAAGGCUAAACACAACGGGACCUGACUUUUGAUCAUGGUCACACGUACUGCAGCUUCCCAAACUCAUAAUGUCACAAGAUCCAGUGAACUCUCCGUACAUAAUCUGAAUAGGAAUCAAUAUUGGUAAAUUAAUUGUUUUACAUUAAGACUUUCGCAAACACCGAAAGUCUGGAGAUGUGAUAGGUGUUAGACGCUGCCUUUGGCUCUUAAGUAUUUUGCACGAUAUGACAUCACUACCUAGGACAACUGGGUGUUUCCUGCCCGGACGUUCCUGAAGGGGAGGUGGACAGGUAGGCUUUGCUCCCCUCUGCCGUCUGCCCUGACACGUGAUUCACCGACAUUAAUGUGGGUGUCUUCCCUGCAGCGUCUUUAAAUGUGAAAGCUUGCAAAUAAAAAGAAGACAAAAAAGCUACUUAUAAUAUCCACCGUGAGUGUUUAAUUCCUCGCGUGACUCAAGGUGUUGGGAGUCACGUGCUGGAGUCGUGACCGCCAGCUUUACCCUCGAGGUGGGAAUCUACAGUUCACAUAGUGCCAUCUACACCUGACACCCUCCACGUUCCAUAAUAGUAGUAGUAGUUGUAGUAGUAGUAGUAGUAGUAGUAGUAGUAGUAGUAGUAGUAGUAGUAGUAGUAGUAGUAGUAGUAGUAGUAGUUAGUAGUUUACUGACUACAGCUUUACAAUAAAAUAACUACACAUUAUAGACGUUAAAAAGCGUACAAAUACUACAGUCCACACGAAACUAAAACAUAAAUACUUGACUUCAGAUUACUAAAACAAACAAUAAAACCUGAACUAAUCUGAACUCUAAAAUCAACACUCUAAAGUAAACAGUGAUCAUGUAAAAUAAUCACAUCAUCUUGCUCAGGUCGGCCAGACAAUCACUGCUCGCUGCUCGUGGCGAAGCGCGAAUCUCGGCUUGCCAAGUGACAGACAAGAGCGUUACCUUGGAAUUAACAAGCUGCGUGCUCCCCAUCAACCCUUUCACACAGAAAAUCAGCAAUGCAAGGUGUAGGUGUGUGAUAGAGUGUGUGCAAAGCUGGAGAUCUGGAUGCAUCUUUUUCUCUUCUAAGUUUUAGGGACAUGCACGACUGAUAGUUUUUUUUUUUUUUUAUCUUCUAAAUUCACUGUUCAUCGGUACAUCUUUCCUUAACCCUUUCGCUGCUAUUCGGCGUGUUUCCUUAAUCACAAACCACUUUGUUUAUUGUUCUGCAGCCACCUCUGACUAUCAUACUGGCCACACACUGGAUACUCUGCUCUUUUCGUUCUCUUUUCUCUCUUAUUGAUGCUCUAAAAGAUUUUCCACAUUGCCUUUAGUGACGUGAAUUGUUCCAUAUUGCAGUGAAAGAGUUAAUCACUAACCAUUCAUGGACAUUUCUUGUUCUUCAACAGCCACCUGCACUGUACUGGUUAGAAACUGCAAAAUCCAUUUCUUUUCAUCAGUUUUUGUUUUCUUAUAGUUGUUUCUAUAAAUUCCAUACAUUGCUUUUAAUGGUGUGAAUUGUUACAUGUCUCAGUGGAAGGAUUCAAUUGGUAUCUUUUUUUUUUCUUUUACACUUUAGACAAGCACAAGACAAAUCCUCUGUAUGAGCAAUAAAAUGUUAUCAUCAUCAAUAUCAUUUAUUUUUUUUAUUAUUCACUUCCACAUACAACAACUCACAGCACCAGAAGCAAUGAGUUUUUGUAAGCAUCGACAAGAAAGGAGGAAAAAAGAAUUAAAAGAACACAGUCAGCAAUUUAAGACAUAAUAAUAUAAGAUAAUAAGGAAAGCUGCAAGAAGCCAUCAGGCCUCCACGUGGCAGUCCCUGUGUGAAACAUACCUAUCUAUUUCCAACAUUCCUAACUAUUUCUAUUAUUUCUAGCCAGUGUAAUACUUAGAGAGCUGCAGGGCACGAAAAAUGUCUCAGAGUGGUUAGUAAUUAGAUAAAACACACCAAAUGGCAAGGAAAGUGGUUGAUUCUUAAACUCGAAUUAUUUAUUUAUUUAUUUAUUUUGUUUGCUUAUGAAAUGUGUUAAUAGUACGAGAUAUGCAUGUGUGUGUAUACAUGACUUUUUCUGUUUUCUUCAGAGCUCACAAAACAAAUUUUAAGUAUAUUGCCAUGUUACAAUAGAAUAUUUAUUUGUGUUACUAUAUUACUAUUUUUAUUAUUAUUAUUAUUAUUAUUAUUAUUAUUAUUAUUAUUAUUAUUAUUAUUAUUAUUAUUAUUAUUAUUAUUAUUGCUAUUAUUACUAUUAUUAUUAUUUCUACUCCUGUUAUUAUUAUAAAGGAUAACCCACAGCAGAAGAAGGGACAAGAACGGGCAUUUAGUUGAUGCGUUAACGUUUUUCUUUGUAAUCCGAAUCAUCCUUCGAUAAUCGAUUACGAAUGUAUUGUAAUCACUUUCUAAUACUUCGUUGUGUUGAGUCUUGUUGUCAGCAUUUUUGGCCACUUUAUAUUUCGUUACUGCUUUUGUUUUGUUUUAUAUAUUUAUUUUCAAGUGUUUUUUUUUCUUUUUGAUGGGCACGCGAGGGGCUAAAACACUUAUCUGUAUUUGGUGUUGGUAGCAGUAGUAGUAGUAGUAGUAGUAGUAGUAGUAGUAGUAGUAGUAGUAGUAGUAGUAGUAGUAGUAGUUAGUAAAUAAGUAAGUAAGAAGGCAAGUAAGCAAGUACAUAAAUGAAGAAGAAGAAGAAGAAGAAGAAGAAGAAGAAGAAAGAAGAAAAAGACGAAGAAGAAAAAGAAGAAAGAAGAAAAAGACGAAGAAGAAGAAGAAGAAGAAGAAGAAGAAGAAGAAGAAGAAGAAGAAGAAGAAGAAGAAGAAGAAGAAGAAGAAGAAACAAUACGAACAAGAACAACAAAAACAACAACAAAACGCAAAUAAAAAAACAACAACAACAACAACGUCAACAACAACAACAACAACAACAACAACAAC